rnacentral:rRNA from 2 species
GUAAAAGUCGUAACAAGGUUUCCGUAGGUGAACCUGCGGAAGGAUCAUUACCUAGAGUUGUAGGCUUUGCCUGCUAUCUCUUACCCAUGUCUUUUGAGUACCUUACGUUUCCUCGGUGGGUUCGCCCACCGAUUGGACAAACUUAAACCCUUUGCAGUUGAAAUCAGCGUCUGAAAAAACUUAAUAGUUACAACUUUCAACAACGGAUCUCUUGGUUCUGGCAUCGAUGAAGAACGCAGCGAAAUGCGAUAAGUAGUGUGAAUUGCAGAAUUCAGUGAAUCAUCGAAUCUUUGAACGCACAUUGCGCCCCUUGGUAUUCCAUGGGGCAUGCCUGUUCGAGCGUCAUUUGUACCUUCAAGCUCUGCUUGGUGUUGGGUGUUUGUCUCCUGUAGACUCGCCUUAAAACAAUUGGCAGCCGGCGUAUUGAUUUCGGAGCGCAGUACAUCUCGCGCUUUGCACUCAUAACGACGACGUCCAAAAGUACAUUUUUACACUCUUGACCUCGGAUCAGGUAGGGAUACCCGCUGAACUUAAG